UACGUAGGGGGCAAGCGUUGUCCGGAUUUAUUGGGCGUAAAGAGCGUGUAGGCGGCUAGGUAGGUCCGUUGUGAAAACUCGAGGCUCAACCUCGAGACGUCGAUGGAAACCAUCUAGCUAGAGUCCGGAAGAGGAGAGUGGAAUUCCUGGUGGAGCGGUGAAAUGCGUUGAUAUCGACAGGAACGCCGGUGGCGAAAGCGGACCGCUGGCCCUCUUCUGACGCUGAGGCGCGAAAAGCGUGGGGGAGCGAACAGG
rnacentral:rRNA from 1 species